rnacentral:rRNA from 1 species
AGUGAACGCUGGCGGUAGGCCUAACACAUGCAAGUCGAACGGCAGCACAGUAAGAGCUUGCUCUUACGGGUGGCGAGUGGCGGACGGGUGAGGAAUACAUCGGAAUCUACUUUUUCGUGGGGGAUAACGUAGGGAAACUUACGCUAAUACCGCAUACGACCUACGGGUGAAAGCAGGGGAUCUUCGGACCUUGCGCGAUUGAAUGAGCCGAUGUCGGAUUAGCUAGUUGGCGGGGUAAAGGCCCACCAAGGCGACGAUCCGUAGCUGGUCUGAGAGGAUGAUCCGCCACAAGUGAACAUGGACACCGUCCCGACCCCCUAGGGGGGGAGCCAGGGGGAAAUUGUGAAAAUGGGCGGCAGCCUGAACCCACCAUUCCCGGGUGGGUAAAGAAGGCCUUGGGUUUUAAAGCCCUUUUGGUGGAAAAAAAAAACCAGCAGGUAAAUCCCCCGUUGUUCUGAGGGUCCCAAAAAAAUAGACACGGGCAAACUUCGUC